CACAAGCCCAGUGCAGCAGCACAACACUUCACACUGAAAACACAGCAAGCUCUGCACUGGAGGGAGAACUGCAGAAGAGAUUAUACUUAUGACCACCCAUGAUAAGCUCACCUUUUAUUUGGCAACAGACACAGAGCAAUGUAAAGAGAGCUGCUCUCACCCAUCUGGUGCA